AACCUCAAGACCUCAGUGUUCCUGGGUUGAAUUUCUUUUGGACUAUCAAGUACAAGAAUGGAUGGACUUUGGACCAGACACCUUCUAUGUGAUCCAUGGAAUGCAGAAAACACAUAUACCAAGUACUUACAGAAGCAGAUGAAAAUUGUUUCAACACACAUUGCAUAGACGCUGAAGAACCCAUGUGCAAUUAGGGAACUGCCUCACCCAAAGUCACACCUCCAACCACAGCUCAGCGUGUGGCCAACAGCUGCCUGAUAAUGCACACAUGGGCCCAUCCCUUAUGCCAGAACUUCCGGUAAUUACGUCUGAGGUCAGCGUGGGUCAGCUUAUCCUGCUACCCUGUCCUCUCCUCCUCACUUCCUCACUUCCCUAGGAAUGUAUCUCAGGAAAGAACUUCCUAAUUACCUUCUGCAUAAAUCUUGUUUUAGGGGUUGUUUCUAAGAAAUCCAGUCUCUGAAGCAGAAUGGAGGGUGACACAAAGUGAGACUGAUAACACUAGCUAUUAUUUUUUCUACUCCUUUUCAGUUUUGAUUUUGCUGUCUCUGGUAAAUCAUACAGUCAAUAACACACAGCUGCUAUGGACUGAAUUGUGAGCCCUACAAAUUCCUAAUCUCCAACACAAUGGAAAUAGAAGGUGAGGCUUUGGGGCGGAAGAGAUGAGGUUAAUAUCCCUAUGUGGGAUUGGUGCUCUUAUAAGAAGAGACACAAAUAUAAGGAUAUUGCAAAGUGUACUCCUGCACACCAGGAAAAGGACCUCCCCAGGAACUGAACUGGCUGGCACUUUGUUUGAUCUUGGAUAUUCCAGCCUCCAGAAAGGUGAGGAAUAAAUUUCUGUUGUCCAAGCCACCCAGUCUAUGAUAUUGUGAUAGCAGCUCCAACUAAGACACGAGCUCUUACCAGCAAAGGUACCCAGUAGUAAUUUAAGGAAGUUGGCCCUUCCACAAGUGUUGGCAUUCUUUCUGUGAAGAGUAAGAAGGCCAGGACACCUGCAUUGAAAAGGCAGAGCAUGUGGAUUGUGCAUUUGCAAAGGAAGAUUGCUUUUUGUAGUAAAAUAGUUUUCCAAGCAUCUUUUAAACUUUUUAAAUUAUUAUUACUCACCUAUUAUCCCACAGACUAGAAUUUUCCCCAGGAUUAAUAUAAAGAAUGUAACUUCAUCUGUCACUGCAACUCUAUCAGAAAAAAAAAAAAAAAAAAAGAAAGUGUAA